rnacentral:rRNA from 1 species
GAUGAACGCUGGCGGCGUGCCUAAUACAUGCAAGUCGAGCGAACAGACGAGGAGCUUGCUCCUCUGACGUUAGCGGCGGACGGGUGAGUAACACGUGGAUAACCUACCUAUAAGACUGGGAUAACUUCGGGAAACCGGAGCUAAUACCGGAUAAUAUAUUGAACCGCAUGGUUCAAUAGUGAAAGACGGUUUUGCUGUCACUUAUAGAUGGAUCCGCGCCGCAUUAGCUAGUUGGUAAGGUAACGGCUUACCAAGGCAACGAUGCGUAGCCGACCUGAGAGGGUGAUCGGCCACACUGGAACUGAGACACGGUCCAGACUCCUACGGGAGGCAGCAGUAGGGAAUCUUCCGCAACGGGCGAAAGCCUGACGGAGCAACGCCGCGUGAGUGAUGAAGGUCUUCGGAUCGUAAAACUCUGUUAUUAGGGAAGAACAAAUGUGUAAGUAACUAUGCACGUCUUGUCGGUACCUAAUCAGAAAGCCACGGCUAACUACGU